UCCGAAUUAGUGUAGGGGUUAACAUAACUCGCUUUCAUACCUCUUCUUCGUCAUUCGAAUAAGGAGUUUCUUGAUCCGAGUAGCCCCGGGUUCGAUUCCCGGAUUCGGAA
rnacentral:tRNA from 1 species